rnacentral:rRNA from 1 species
UUAAAUUGAAGAGUUUGAUCAUGGCUCAGAUUGAACGCUGGCGGCAGGCCUAACACAUGCAAGUCGAACGGUAACAGGAAGAAGCUUGCUUCUUUGCUGACGAGUGGCGGACGGGUGAGUAAUGUCUGGGAAACUGCCUGAUGGAGGGGGAUAACUACUGGAAACGGUAGCUAAUACCGCAUAACGUCGCAAGACCAAAGAGGGGGACCUUCGGGCCUCUUGCCAUCGGAUGUGCCCAGAUGGGAUUAGCUUGUUGGUGGGGUAACGGCUCACCAAGGCGACGAUCCCUAGCUGGUCUGAGAGGAUGACCAGCCACACUGGAACUGAGACACGGUCCAGACUCCUACGGGAGGCAGCAGUGGGGAAUAUUGCACAAUGGGCGCAAGCCUGAUGCAGCCAUGCCGCGUGUAUGAAGAAGGCCUUCGGGUUGUAAAGUACUUUCAGCGGGGAGGAAGGGAGUAAAGUUAAUACCUUUGCUCAUUGACGUUACCCGCAGAAGAAGCACCGGCUAACUCCGUGCCAGCAGCCGCGGUAAUACGGAGGGUGCAAGCGUUAAUCGGAAUUACUGGGCGUAAAGCGCACGCAGGCGGUUUGUUAAGUCAGAUGUGAAAUCCCCGGGCUCAACCUGGGAACUGCAUCUGAUACUGGCAAGCUUGAGUCUCGUAGAGGGGGGUAGAAUUCCAGGUGUAGCGGUGAAAUGCGUAGAGAUCUGGAGGAAUACCGGUGGCGAAGGCGGCCCCCUGGACGAAGACUGACGCUCAGGUGCGAAAGCGUGGGGAGCAAACAGGAUUAGAUACCCUGGUAGUCCACGCCGUAAACGAUGUCGACUUGGAGGUUGUGCCCUUGAGGCGUGGCUUCCGGAGCUAACGCGUUAAGUCGACCGCCUGGGGAGUACGGCCGCAAGGUUAAAACUCAAAUGAAUUGACGGGGGCCCGCACAAGCGGUGGAGCAUGUGGUUUAAUUCGAUGCAACGCGAAGAACCUUACCUGGUCUUGACAUCCACGGAAGUUUUCAGAGAUGAGAAUGUGCCUUCGGGAACCGUGAGACAGGUGCUGCAUGGCUGUCGUCAGCUCGUGUUGUGAAAUGUUGGGUUAAGUCCCGCAACGAGCGCAACCCUUAUCCUUUGUUGCCAGCGGUCCGGCCGGGAACUCAAAGGAGACUGCCAGUGAUAAACUGGAGGAAGGUGGGGAUGACGUCAAGUCAUCAUGGCCCUUACGACCAGGGCUACACACGUGCUACAAUGGCGCAUACAAAGAGAAGCGACCUCGCGAGAGCAAGCGGACCUCAUAAAGUGCGUCGUAGUCCGGAUUGGAGUCUGCAACUCGACUCCAUGAAGUCGGAAUCGCUAGUAAUCGUGGAUCAGAAUGCCACGGUGAAUACGUUCCCGGGCCUUGUACACACCGCCCGUCACACCAUGGGAGUGGGUUGCAAAAGAAGUAGGUAGCUUAACCUUAGGGAGGGCGCUUACCACUUUGUGAUUCAUGACUGGGGUGAAGUCGUAACAAGGUAACCGUAGGGGAACCUGCGGUUGGAUCACCUCCUUACCUUAAAGAAGC